rnacentral:rRNA from 1 species
AUUGAACGCUGGCGGCAGGCCUAACACAUGCAAGUCGAACGGUAACAGGAAGAAGCUUGCUUCUUUGCUGACGAGUGGCGGACGGGUGAGUAAUGUCUGGGAAACUGCCUGAUGGAGGGGGAUAACUACUGGAAACGGUAGCUAAUACCGCAUAACGUCGCAAGCCCAAAGAGGGGGACCUUCGGGCCUCUUGCCAUCGGAUGUGCCCAGAUGGGAUUAGCUAGUAGGUGGGGUAACGGCUCACCUAGGCGACGAUCCCUAGCUGGUCUGAGAGGAUGACCAGCCACACGGGAACGGGGACACGGACCAGACGCCUACGGGAGGCCGCAGAGGGGAAUAUUGCACAAUGGGGGAAAGCCUGAUGCAGCCAUGCCGCGUGUAUGAAGAAGGCCUUCGGGUUGUAAAGUACUUUCAGCGGGGAGGAAGGGAGUAAAGUUAAUACCUUUGCUCAUUGACGUUACCCGCAGAAGAAGCACCGGCUAACUCCGUG